GAUGAACGCUAGCGGGAGGCUUAACACAUGCAAGCCGAGGGGUAUUUGUAGCUUGCUACAGAGAGACCGGCGCACGGGUGCGUAACGCGUAGGCAAUCUACCUUUAUCAUAGGGAUAGCUCGGGGAAACCCGAAUUAAUACCUAAUAAUACUAGUAUAGGCAUCUAAAUUAGUUAAAAGAUUUAUCGGAUAGAGAUGAGCCUGCGUAGGAUUAGCUAGUUGGUAAGGUAACGGCUUACCAGGGCUACGAUCCUUAGGGGGCCUGAGAGGGUGAACCCCCACACUGGUACUGAGACACGGACCAGACUCCUACGGGAGGCAGCAGUGAGGAAUAUUGGACAAUGGGUGAGAGCCUGAUCCAGCCAUCCCGCGUGAAGGAAUAAGGUUCUAUGGACUGUAAACUUCUUUUAUACAGGAAUAAACCUACAUACGUGUAUGUAGCUGAAGGUACUGUAUGAAUAAGCACCGGCUAACUCCGUGCCAGCAGCCGCGGUAA
rnacentral:rRNA from 1 species